UUCCCCUAGUACGGCGAGUGAAGCGGGCAUUAGCUCAAUUUGAAGCUGGCCUUCUGGUCCGCAUUGUAAUUUGUAGAGGAUGCUUUUGGCGCGGUGCCUUCUGAGUUCCUUGGAACAGGACGCCUUAGAGGGUGAGAGCCCCGUACAGUUGGACACCUAGCCUUUGUAAAGCUCCUUCGACGAGUCGAGUAGUUUGGGAAUGCUGCUCUAAAUGGGAGGUAAAUUUCUUCUAAAGCUAAAUACCGGCCAGAGACCGAUAGCGCACAAGUAGAGUGAUCGAAAGAUGAAAAGCACUUUGAAAAGAGGUUAAAUAGCACGUGAAAUUGUUGAAAGGGAAGCGCUUAUGACCAGACUUUUUCCURRCGGAUCAUCCGGYGUUCUCRCCGGUGCACUUCGYYAGGUUKAGGCCARCRUCGAUUUYCGCSAGGGGGAUAAAGGCUUCGGGAAUGUGACUCCCUUCGGGGAGUGUUAUAGCCCGUUGUGUAAUACCUCUCUGGGGAUCGAGGUUCGCGCUCUGCAAGGACGCUGGCAUAAUGGUCAUCAGUGACCCGUCUUGAAACACGGACCAAGGAGUCGAACAUUUGUGCGAGUGUUUGGGUGUUAAACCCUCACGCGUAAUGAAAGUGAACGGAGGUGAGAGCCCUUACGGGUGCAUCAUCGACCGAUCCUGAUGUCUUCGGAUGGAUUUGAGUAAGAGCAUAACUGUUCGGACCCGAAAGAUGGUGAACUAUGCGUGGAUAGGGUGAAGCCAGAGGAAACUCUGGUGGAGGCUCGCAGCGGUUCUGACGUGCAAAUCGAUCGUCAAAUCUGCGCAUGGGGGCGAAAGACUAAUCGAA
rnacentral:rRNA from 1 species